AUGCCCGCUGCAGUGGAACAAGCCAUGAUUGCCAACCCAUGGAUACUUGGUGGUGAAGACAUAUCUCAAGGGGUGGUGGAUCUGGGCGUCACGACUACUAAACCUAUUCGGGAUUUUUGGCAAUGUCACUACAAUGGGUGCAACAAUGGAGGGUGCCUCCAUUAUAGGAUACACACUUGUCAUGUGAUGUUUUUUUCAUUUCAAAACACAAAUAUAUAUUUUUCAUUUAAAGACUCUCUCUCUCUCUCUCUCUCUCUCUCUCUCUCUCUCUCACACACACACACACACACACACACACACACACAUGAAUAUUACCUGAAUUCAUAUAGUUUUACAAAAGAGAACUUUAUAUACAACUGGAUUUAUUGUACUCUAGUUUGA
rnacentral:rRNA from 1 species